rnacentral:rRNA from 1 species
AAUUACUUUAUGAAACUUCGGUCGAUUAAUUUAAUCUAGUGGCGGACGGGUGAGUAACGCGUGGGUAACCUGCUUAUACAGGGGGAUAACAGUCAGAAAUGGCUGCUAAUACCGCAUAAGCGCACAGAGCUGCAUGGCUCAGUGUGAAAAACUCCGGUGGUAUAAGAUGGACCCGCGUUGGAUUAGCUAGUUGGUGGGGUAACGGCCCACCAAGGCGACGAUCCAUAGCCGGCUGAGAGGGUGAACGGCCACAUUGGGACUGAGACACGGCCCAGACUCCUACGGGAGGGCAGCAGUGGGGAAUAUUGCACAAUGGGGGAAACCCUGAUGCAGCGACGCCGCGUGAAGGAAGAAGUAUCUCGGUAUGUAAACUUCUAUCAGCAGGGAAGAUAGUGACGGUACCUGACUAAGAAGCCCCCGGCUAACUACGUGCCAGCAGCCGCGGUAAUACGUAGGGGGCAAGCGUUAUCCGGAUUUACUGGGUGUAAAAGGGGAGCGUAGACGGUGUGGCAAAGUCUGAUGUGAAAAGGCAUGGGCUCAAACCUGUGGACUGCAUUGGAAAACUGUCAUACUUGAGUGCCGGAGGGGUAAGCGGAAUUUCCUAGUGUAGCGGUGAAAAUGCGUAGAUAUUAGGAGGAAACACCCAGUGGCGAAAGGCGGCUUACUGGAC